GGGUUGUGAGGUUAAGCGACUAAGCGUACACGGUGGAUGCCCUGGCAGUCAGAGGCGAUGAAGGACGUGCUAAUCUGCGAUAAGCGUCGGUAAGGUGAUAUGAACCGUUAUAACCGGCGAUUUCCGAAUGGGGAAACCCAGUGUGAUUCGUCACACUAUCAUUAACUGAAUCCAUAGGUUAAUGAGGCGAACCGGGGGAACUGAAACAUCUAAGUACCCCGAGGAAAAGAAAUCAACCGAGAUUCCCCCAGUAGCGGCGAGCGAACGGGGAGCAGCCCAGAGCCUGAAUCAGUGUGUGUGUUAGUGGAAGCGUCUGGAAAGGCGCGCGAUACAGGGUGACAGCCCCGUACACAAAAAUGCACAUACUGUGAGCUCGAUGAGUAGGGCGGGACACGUGGUAUCCUGUCUGAAUAUGGGGGGACCAUCCUCCAAGGCUAAAUACUCCUGACUGACCGAUAGUGAACCAGUACCGUGAGGGAAAGGCGAAAAGAACCCCGGCGAGGGGAGUGAAAAAGAACCUGAAACCGUGUACGUACAAGCAGUGGGAGCACAGAGCAAUCUGUGUGACUGCGUACCUUUUGUAUAAUGGGUCAGCGACUUAUAUUCUGUAGCAAGGUUAACCGAAUAGGGGAGCCGAAGGGAAACCGAGUCUUAACUGGGCGUUAAGUUGCAGGGUAUAGACCCGAAACCCGGUGAUCUAGCCAUGGGCAGGUUGAAGGUUGGGUAACACUAACUGGAGGACCGAACCGACUAAUGUUGAAAAAUUAGCGGAUGACUUGUGGCUGGGGGUGAAAGGCCAAUCAAACCGGGAGAUAGCUGGUUCUCCCCGAAAGCUAUUUAGGUAGCGCCUCGUGAAUUCAUCUCCGGGGGUAGAGCACUGUUUCGGCAAGGGGGUCAUCCCGACUUACCAACCCGAUGCAAACUGCGAAUACCGGAGAAUGUUAUCACGGGAGACACACGGCGGGUGCUAACGUCCGUCGUGAAGAGGGAAACAACCCAGACCGCCAGCUAAGGUCCCAAAGUCAUGGUUAAGUGGGAAACGAUGUGGGAAGGCCCAGACAGCCAGGAUGUUGGCUUAGAAGCAGCCAUCAUUUAAAGAAAGCGUAAUAGCUCACUGGUCGAGUCGGCCUGCGCGGAAGAUGUAACGGGGCUAAACCAUGCACCGAAGCUGCGGCAGCGACGCUNAUGCUGGAGGUAUCAGAAGUGCGAAUGCUGACAUAAGUAACGAUAAAGCGGGUGAAAAGCCCGCUCGCCGGAAGACCAAGGGUUCCUGUCCAACGUUAAUCGGGGCAGGGUGAGUCGACCCCUAAGGCGAGGCCGAAAGGCGUAGUCGAUGGGAAACAGGUUAAUAUUCCUGUACUUGGUGUUACUGCGAAGGGGGGACGGAGAAGGCUAUGUUGGCCGGGCGACGGUUGUCCCGGUUUAAGCGUGUAGGCUGGUUUUCCAGGCAAAUCCGGAAAAUCAAGGCUGAGGCGUGAUGACGAGGCACUACGGUGCUGAAGCAACAAAUGCCCUGCUUCCAGGAAAAGCCUCUAAGCAUCAGGUAACAUCAAAUCGUACCCCAAACCGACACAGGUGGUCAGGUAGAGAAUACCAAGGCGCUUGAGAGAACUCGGGUGAAGGAACUAGGCAAAAUGGUGCCGUAACUUCGGGAGAAGGCACGCUGAUAUGUAGGUGAAGUCCCUCGCGGAUGGAGCUGAAAUCAGUCGAAGAUACCAGCUGGCUGCAACUGUUUAUUAAAAACACAGCACUGUGCAAACACGAAAGUGGACGUAUACGGUGUGACGCCUGCCCGGUGCCGGAAGGUUAAUUGAUGGGGUUAGCGCAAGCGAAGCUCUUGAUCGAAGCCCCGGUAAACGGCGGCCGUAACUAUAACGGUCCUAAGGUAGCGAAAUUCCUUGUCGGGUAAGUUCCGACCUGCACGAAUGGCGUAAUGAUGGCCAGGCUGUCUCCACCCGAGACUCAGUGAAAUUGAACUCGCUGUGAAGAUGCAGUGUACCCGCGGCAAGACGGAAAGACCCCGUGAACCUUUACUAUAGCUUGACACUGAACAUUGAGCCUUGAUGUGUAGGAUAGGUGGGAGGCUUUGAAGUGUGGACGCCAGUCUGCAUGGAGCCGACCUUGAAAUACCACCCUUUAAUGUUUGAUGUUCUAACGUGGACCCGUAAUCCGGGUUGCGGACAGUGUCUGGUGGGUAGUUUGACUGGGGCGGUCUCCUCCUAAAGAGUAACGGAGGAGCACGAAGGUUGGCUAAUCCUGGUCGGACAUCAGGAGGUUAGUGCAAUGGCAUAAGCCAGCUUGACUGCGAGCGUGACGGCGCGAGCAGGUGCGAAAGCAGGUCAUAGUGAUCCGGUGGUUCUGAAUGGAAGGGCCAUCGCUCAACGGAUAAAAGGUACUCCGGGGAUAACAGGCUGAUACCGCCCAAGAGUUCAUAUCGACGGCGGUGUUUGGCACCUCGAUGUCGGCUCAUCACAUCCUGGGGCUGAAGUAGGUCCCAAGGGUAUGGCUGUUCGCCAUUUAAAGUGGUACGCGAGCUGGGUUUAGAACGUCGUGAGACAGUUCGGUCCCUAUCUGCCGUGGGCGCUGGAGAACUGAGGGGGGCUGCUCCUAGUACGAGAGGACCGGAGUGGACGCAUCACUGGUGUUCGGGUUGUCAUGCCAAUGGCACUGCCCGGUAGCUAAAUGCGGAAGAGAUAAGUGCUGAAAGCAUCUAAGCACGAAACUUGCCCCGAGAUGAGUUCUCCCUGACUCCUUGAGAGUCCUGAAGGAACGUUGAAGACGACGACGUUGAUAGGCCGGGUGUGUAAGCGCAGCGAUGCGUUGAGCUAACCGGUACUAAUGAACCGUGAGGCUUAACCUUACAACGCCGAAGGUGUUU
rnacentral:rRNA from 1 species